UUUGACCCUCCUUCAACAUAUCUGGAACUAUGCUGUAAAACACCAGUAGCUUGGAACCCACAGUUGAACCAAUGUAUUAUGGCAUGUCUGGAAGAACAAUCCUAAAAGUUGAUCAAAACAUAAUCAAUGUUAAAUCAAAUUAGUUCACAUACAUUGUUGAUUAGUAUGACCAUUUAUCUUCAUCAUAAAACACGAUACCUAAAUAAGUGCAUCCUUCUCACAUGUUUCAUUGCUACGGAUUUGCCCUAGCCAUUCCAUGUACACACAGUUUUUCUGCAGGACAUUUGCAAAGAGCUGGUCCAAACUGAACCACAGAACAAACUUCCCUCCCUUUUACUCCCCUCCCUCCAGUUUGUCAAUGGGAGACUACGUUUAAAAUGUAACCCCACCUGAAAUCCAUUGUCAACCAAUCACAUGCUAGAACGCCUGCACGGAUGGCACGCCCUUCUUUGUUCAAAGCCAAUGAGAAUGGAUGUGUGGCAUUUUGCCUGGGGGGGAAAACUUAGCCCUGGAUGUGUUAAUUACGCAUCACUUAACUGUUGCCAAUGUGUUCUCAACGGUGGAUCCUCUUUUGGGUUUUUUACAACUACUCUAUUUAUUUUCCGGUCCUUUUAUUAUGGAAGGCAGACAACAAUGGCUUACCAGGCUGAAGAAUGAGCUAAGCAACAGUCCACUGGUGUCAAACGUAGCUUUUGGCUUUAUCCUCAUGGGACUGGAAAAGCUGGUGGAGCUGGAGUUUGAGUGUCCUUGCGAUCCUACAUGGAACGGAGUGUUUUCGUCUGCCUUCUUCAUCAUCCCCGCCGUCAUGGCCUUCACCUUGAUGCUGAUCAUCCAGGGGUGCCGGUGCGAUACGUGGUGCAGGAACACCAUCUCCUUCUCCAGCUUUGUCCCCGCUGUCGUUUGGCUGAUUCUGCUGUUCUUGGACGGCCAGUACUUUGCCUGUGCGAUGACAUACUGGGAGGGAAGGUUUGUGAUCGUGGACAAGGCAGCGCCUCAGAAGUGGUGCGAGCCACUGAGCGACGGGGACAUCCCUCUUCAAGAGCUGAUGCUGCGCUCCCAGAACUUGUUUGUUUUCUCUCAGGUGAUAGGCAUAAUCCUUCUGAUAUUCAUCUGUGUGGGACUCAUCGUUUAUGUGGCGAGAGAGAGCUGUGAACAGGACCUGGAGAUGCAGGAGGCAGACGUAGCUGAGCUUACAGUACUUAGGAUGAGCUCACUGCGGACCAGGACUCCCUGAGAGCCGUGUGGUCGGCCGGACCAGCCAGUUCUCAUGGGGGCGAGAGCUAUACCUGGCUGGAAUGAACACUUACAGAGCACCAGGAAUAGACUUCACCGUUGGUCUCCAUUGUUUUGUCAAUCAGUGCCUUGUGUACAUUUGCGAAUAGUUAUUUCAUUGUUUCUUUCGUGUCUUAGUGCCUUAUUGUGUUUGUUUACUAUUAUGUGUGGGAAUUCUUUAAUGCACCAUUUGUUGUUGGACUAAAACUGCAAUACAGUCCUUUCUAACUACAACUUUUUUCUGACGUGGUUGUUCACUUAUAUUAUAUUAAGUGCAUUGUUAAGUGCACAUAUUUUAUUGUUCUAAAGAAACUAAAUGCCAGCCCCUUUUUUGUACCUUCGGUAAAACCAUGUAAUAUACGUUUUAAAAACAACUUGAACAAGGGAAAUUGGAUACAGGGAAACAGGAUAUUCUGUCGCCAGAAUAAGAGUUUUUUGCCUUUGUAUACGAAUAGCUGGCGGAUGGACUAAUGCUUUAAUGUAUAGGGAUCCCCGAGGCAGCUAGUGUUGAAAUGUGUUUGCCACUUCAUACAUUUUGGAGUGUCGCAGGCUGUAUAGUGAAAAUGUGUUGUCAAAGUAAAAUAUCACUUUUAAUAAUUCAGGGGCGCUCUCGGUCUGCUACAUGGAAGAAGACUCCUGACUGAAUCAUCCAAUGAUUCUCAUUCUGUCAGGUUUAUUAUGUAUAUACCAACUAGGAUUCAAAUAUAUAUGAUAAUGCCUACUGCAGUAUUUUUAUAUAAAAUAUUGUUCAUGCAUUAUGUAGAAACUGUCAUUGAUUGUGGUUUGUAGCAAGAAAAUGUGACUUAAAAAGUACUGACAUUUGAUUUUGUAAUAAAGAAAUUAUUUAUUUAA